UUGUUUUUCCCCUCAUGAUCAAUAAUAGAGUAUUUCACAAUGAGAGUGUAGUAUUAUACUAACAUAACAUUAAUUCACACCUUGUUCCAAGGCUCGCUCUCGGACCAUAAUAUUCAUGAACGCCGGUUUCUAUCGGAGGUAAAUAAAAGAUGACCCACGCUACUUCCUGUUUUGAUAACAAAAAAAAACGGUCAUUUCGUCUUUAGCUAUGGAUAGACAUAACGAGCUAUCAUGGAACGCCAUCUCUUUACUAACAGGUAGACUGUUAAAAUCAAGACUCAUAACUAUCAACAGUGCAUUGUGCUUUUGGGGUUGAAAUAACGUUACACCUGUGGUUCCCAACUGUUGUUGUGGGGAGAUGGCACUGAGCGCGAGCGGUUGGGCUCCAACGCCUGUGCCAGCCACAUUCCAGUCUGUACAUGGUGGGCCCGCACUGGCUAGCUGCAACACGGUUUUGAUGUCGGUGCGAGUGUCGGUUUGCCAUUCUGGAAUUCGACCGCUUUGCCUCCCCGGAGCUGUCGAUGAGGUUCUCCAUCUUCAGCUUAGUAUGGACCCCAGCAAAGCUGGAGAGUUUCGGCUAGCACUGAGGGACAGUAGCGGAAGCGGCCGUAGUGUGUUCAUUGCAGAGUUUGACUUGCGCUCAGUGCAGUAUGAGGUGAAGUCUCCACGCCUUCACGAGAUUUAUUUGGCAACGCCCCCUCACGACUGCAUCUGCUUCAACUUCUGCUGCGAUCUGGAGGCUGAGCAGUGGGCCACAGUGGUGAUGUCAUCCCUAAGAGAGGCACACAGAGUUGCUGCAAAUAGUUCCCCACAUCCUCUGGAUGACCGACAGAAGCACACUGCAGCAGUAGCUCUAGAACAGUGCAGCACAGCCUCCUUACCACUCACUGAGGAGCUGCGCCUGGAGCUUGCCCGGGCGAUCGAAGCAGGCGACAGCCAGGCUGCUGCUCAACAUGCAUCUGCUCUGGCUCACCAGAAGGUGGCGCUCACCAUCCAACUGUCUGAGAAGAGUUACGCAGAAGGAGAGAUACGUUUGGCUGUGGCAGUGGAGGACAUUUCCUCUUCCUGUUGCGUCACAGUGAAAGUUUUCCCACACAUGACCGUCACAGCACUCAAGCAGCAGGUGUUUCUGGAGUAUGGCUUCCACCCUCUCGUGCAGCGCUGGGUGAUAGGGCAGUGUUUGUGCACAGAGCCCAGGUCCCUGGCCUCGUAUGGAGUCCAGAGGGAUGGGGACAUGGCCUACCUCUACCUGAUCUCAGCCUGCCAUGCCCGCCUCACCCGCCAGCUGUUCCAGCAGGACCAGGAGGGCAUCCUCCUCACCCCACCUCUGCCUACCAGCAACGGGUCUACGUCCCAGGACUGGAGGGGCUACACCCUGCCCUCCAGGCUCAGCCACAACUCCCAGGCAAACACAACGCAAGAGUGGCUUUCGGACAAGUCUGAGUGUCCUUGAGUGGCCUAGCCAGAGCCCGGACUUGAACUUGAUCGAACAUCUCUGGAGAGACCUGAAAAUGCAGUGGCUUGCGAAAGUAUUCACCCCCCUUAGCAUGUUUCAUGUUUUGUUGCCUUACAACCUGGAAUUAAAAUAGAGUUUGUAUCAUUUGCUUAACACAACAUGCCUACCACUUUGAAGAUGCAAAAUAUUAUUUGUGAAACAAACAAGAAAUAAGACAAAAAAAACAGAACUUGAGCAUGCAUAACUAUUCAUCCCCCAAAGUUAAUCAUUUGUAGAGCCACCUUUCGCAGCAAUUACAGCUGCACGUCUGUUGGGGUAUGUCUCUAUAAGCUUGGCACAUCUAGCCACUGGGAUUUUCGCACAUUCUUCAAGGCAAAACAGCUCCAGCUCCUUCAAGUUGGAUGGGUUCCGCUGGUGUAUGGCAAUCUUUAAGUCAUACCACAGAUUCUCAAUUGAAUUGAGGUCUGGGCUUUGACUAGGCCAUUACAAGACAUUGGAAUCAUAAAUGUUUCCCCUUAAACCACUCGAGUGUUGCUUUAGCAGUAUGCUAGGGUCAUUGUCCCGCUGGAAGGUGAACCUCUGUCACAGUCUCAAAUCUCUGGAAGAUCUCAUUCCUUCAAUUCUGACCAGUUUCCCAGUCCCUGCUGAUGAAAAACAUCCCCACAGCAUGAUGCUUCACUGUGGGGAUGGUGUUCUCGGGCUGAUGAGAGGUACUGGGUUUGUGACAGACAUAGCGGUUUCCUUGAUGGCCAAAAAGCUUCAUUUGUCUCAUCUGACCAGAGCACCUUCUUCUAUAUGUUUGGGUAGUCUCCCACAUGCCUUUUAGCGAACACCAAACGCGUUUGCUUAUUUUUUUCUUUAAGCAAUGGCUUUUUUUCUGGCCACUCUUCCGUUAAGCCCAGCUCUGGAGUGUACAGCUUAAAUUGGUCCUAUGGACAGAUACUCCAAUCUCCGCUGUGGAGCUUUGCAGCUCCUUCAGGGUUAUCUUUGGUCUCUUUGUUGCCUCUCUGAUUAAUGCCCUCCUUGCCUGGUCCGUAAGUUUUGGUGGUUGGCCCUCUUGGCAGGUUUGUUGUGAUGCCAUAUUCUUUCCAUUUAAUGGUGCUCCGUGGGAUGUUCAAAGUUUCAGAUAUUUUUUUAUAACCCAACCCUGAUCUAUACUUCUCCACAACUUUGUCCCUGACUUGUUUGGAGAGCUCCUUCAUGGUACCACUAGCUUGGUGGUGCCCCUUGCUUAGUGGCGUUGCAGACUCUGGGGCCUUUCAGAACAGGUGUGUAUAUAUACACUGAGAUCAUGUGACAGAUCUUGUGACACUUAGAUUGCACACAGGUGGACUUUAUUUAACUAAUUAUGUGACUUCUGAAGGUAAUUGGUUGCACCAGAUCUUAUUUAGGGGCUUCAUCAUAGCAAAGGGGGUGAAUACAUAGCACACGCACCAUUCUUAAAAUUAUUUAGACUUUUUUUUUUUUCAUAUCACCAAUUUGGACCAUUUUUAUGUAUGUCGAUUUACAUGAAAUCCAUUUAAGUUACAGGUUGUAACGCAACAAAAUAGGAAAAACGCCAAGGGGGAUGAAUACUUUUGCAAGGCACUGUUGCUGUGCAGCGACGCUCCCCAUCCAACCUGACAGAGCUUGAGAGGAUCUGCAGAGAGAAAUUUGAGAAACUCCUCAAAUACUUGUGUACCAAGCUUGUAGUGUCAUACCCAAGAAGACUCUAGACUUUAAUCACUGUAAAAGGGAGCACCGGACGUGAGGCUGACAGGCUGGGUAUGAGCGAGAUCACAGAGGCCCUCAACUUGGAGACUCUGCAGAUCAACAAUAAACCUGAUCAACCCUGCAAAGCCAGUAAAACACAG